rnacentral:rRNA from 1 species
GACGAACGCUGGCGGCGUGCCUAAUACAUGCAAGUAGAACGCUGAAGGAGGAGCUUGCUUCUCCGGAUGAGUUGCGAACGGGUGAGUAACGCGUAGGUAACCUGCCUGGUAGCGGGGGAUAACUAUUGGAAACGAUAGCUAAUACCGCAUAAGAGUAGAUGUCGCAUGACAUUUGCUUAAAAGGUGCAACUGCACCACUACCAGAUGGACCUGCGUUGUAUUAGCUAGUUGGUGAGGUAACGGCUCACCAAGGCAACGAUACAUAGCCGACCUGAGAGGGUGAUCGGCCACACUGGGACUGAGACACGGCCCAGACUCCUACGGGAGGCAGCAGUAGGGAAUCUUCGGCAAUGGACGGAAGUCUGACCGAGCAACGCCGCGUGAGUGAAGAAGGUUUUCGGAUCGUAAAGCUCUGUUGUAAGAGAAGAACGAGUGUGAGAGUGGAAAGUUCACACUGUGACGGUAGCUUACCAGAAAGAGACGGCUAACUACGUG